ACCCCUUUAAUAUCCAUUCCUGCACAAAAGGCACGAGAUGAGCUGCCCUCGACAAGGACACAUUUGACCCUUGGAUCCUCCUCCCAUUCAUCAAGAUACUUUUUGUAUUGUAUAUCCAUAUCUAAAUUCAUGGCGUUGAGAGCUUUGGGGCGAUCGAGAGUAAUAACCGCGAGGCCAUUAGGAUGAACGCUGCCCUUGACAAACUCAUCCGCGCCGGCCAUGGCCGCCAAGGUUCGCCCGUAGACGGAAUUGGAAUUGUUGUGGAAGAGACUGAGUGAGGGAAGAGUCCGAGAGAGAGGAAGCGUAGAGGAUUUGAAUAAG
rnacentral:misc_RNA from 1 species